UACGGGGGGGGCAAGCGUUGUUCGGAAUUACUGGGCGUAAAGGGCUCGUAGGUGGCCAACUAAGUCAGACGUGAAAUCCCUCGGCUUAACCGGGGAACUGCGUCUGAUACUGGAUGGCUUGAGUUCGGGAGAGGGAUGCGGAAUUCCAGGUGUAGCGGUGAAAUGCGUAGAUAUCGGAAGGAACAUCAGUGGCGAAAGCGACUUCCUGGACCAAUACUGACGCUCAUGUGCGAAAGCGUGGGGAGCAAACAGG
rnacentral:rRNA from 1 species